UUGCAUCCACUGAUAGACCUGAAGCAGCAUCAUUGGCUUCCUGGUUUGCAAAGUGAUGCUAAACUGAGCCUUCCUCAUGCUAAACUGAGCUUUCUGACUGCUAAGUUUAACAGUAGUCAGACUAAAUUGAGGAGAACAGGU
rnacentral:snoRNA from 1 species